GCAUUGUUGGGGUAGUGGUAACCUGGGUCGUUGCCACGUGGUUUCGCACCUUCGACCCGCCCCGGGUUCGAUUCCCGGACAAUGCA